GAUGAAGAACGUAGCGAAAUGCGAUACUUAGUGUGAAUUGCAGAAUCCCGUGAACCAUCGAGUCUUUGAACGCAAGUUGCGCCCGAAGCCAUCAGGUUGAGGGCACGUCUGCCUGGGCGUCACAUAUCGUUGCCCAAUGCCUAUUGCAGUGCAAUAGGAAUUUCUAGGGCGAAUGAUGGCUUCCCGUGAGCGUUUUGCCUCGCGGUUGGUUGAAAAUCGAGUCCUUGGUAGGGUGUGCCAUGGUAGAUGGUGGUCGAGUUAGAACGAUACCGAUCAUGUGCAUGCUCCCCAAAAUAUGGCCUCUAUGACCCACACGCGUCUUUUGACGCUCAUGACGAGACCUCAGGUCAGGCGGGGCUACCCGCUGAAUUUAAGCAUAUCAAUAAGCGGAGGA
rnacentral:misc_RNA from 1 species